rnacentral:rRNA from 1 species
GACGAACGCUGGCGGCGUGCUUAACACAUGCAAGUCGAAGGAAAGGCCCUGCUUUUGUGGGGUGCUCGAGUGGCGAACGGGUGAGUAACACGUGAGUAACCUGCCCUUGACUUUGGGAUAACUUCAGGAAACUGGGGCUAAUACCGGAUAGGAGCUCCUGCUGCAUGGUGGGGGUUGGAAAGUUUCGGCGGUUGGGGAUGGACUCGCGGCUUAUCAGCUUGUUGGUGGGGUAGUGGCUUACCAAGGCUUUGACGGGUAGCCGGCCUGAGAGGGUGACCGGCCACAUUGGGACUGAGAUACGGCCCAGACUCCUACGGGAGGCAGCAGUGGGGAAUAUUGCACAAUGGGCGGAAGCCUGAUGCAGCAACGCCGCGUGCGGGAUGACGGCCUUCGGGUUGUAAACCGCUUUCGCCUGUGACGAAGCGUGAGUGACGGUAAUGGGUAAAGAAGCACCGGCUAACUACGUG